rnacentral:rRNA from 1 species
GACGAACGCUGGCGGCGUGCCUAAUACAUGCAAGUAGGACGCAGUUGCGAACGGGUGAGUAAAGCGUAGGUAACUACCUAUUAGAGGGGGGUAACUAGUGGAAACGAUAGCUAAUACCGCAUACUCGUAGAUGGACCUGCGUUGUAUUAGCUAGUCGGUAGGGUAAUGGCCUACCUAGGCAACGAUACAUAGCCGACCUGAGAGGGUGAUCGGGCACACCGGUACUGAGACAGGGCCCAGACUCCUACGGGAGGCAGCAGUAGGGAAGCUUAGGCAAUGGGGGGAACCUGGACCGAGCAACGCCGCGUGAGUGAAGAAGGUUUUCGGAUCGUAAAGCUCUGUUGUUAAUGAAGCGGUACUUAACCAGAAAGGGACGGCUAACUACGUGCCAGCAGCCGCGGUAAUAC